UGAGGAAUAUUGGUCAAUGGGCGAGAGCCUGAACCAACCAAGUAGCGUGCAGGAUGACGGCCCUAUGGGUUGUAAACUGCUUUUAUGUGGGGAUAAAGUGCGUGACGUGUCAUGCAUUGCAGGUACCACAUGAAUAAGGACCGGCUAAUUCCGUGCCAGCAGCCGCGGUAAUACGGAAGGUCCGGGCGUUAUCCGGAUUUAUUGGGUUUAAAGGGAGCGUAGGCUGUCUAUUAAGCGUGUUGUGAAAUUUACCGGCUCAACCGGUGGCUUGCAGCGCGAACUGGUCGACUUGAGUAUGCAGGAAGUAGGCGGAAUUCAUGGUGUAGCGGUGAAAUGCUUAGAUAUCAUGACGAACUCCGAUUGCGCAGGCAGCUUACUGUAGCAUAACUGACGCUGAUGCUCGAAAGUGCGGGUAUCAAACAGG
rnacentral:rRNA from 1 species